CGUUUCUCCGUUAAACCUCGUUACAAGCGCAUUCUCUCGCAUACGUCAUUUCUUCGCAAUCGGAUGCGCGACGCACAGACACUCCCGUAAUGAAUUCCUCUGGUGGCGGGACGUUAAGAAACGGUCGGAAAAACGGUCGCGAGUGCUGGAAUGCUGAACGCGAAAGGGGAUGAUGGUAUGAGAGGAGAGGAGAGGAGAGGAGAAAAGGAUAGACGAACAGCAGAAAGUCUUGUCGCCUCGAUGGAAAUGAAUUUUUCAUUUCGCGCUAAACUCGCGAAACGGUUGGUGGCUUAAAGCGAAGAUUAAAGGGCGGCAGCGUGAGCUUCUCCUUUUUCUACUUCAUGAAGUAUAAGAGGAAACGACGGGGGUGGUGCCGCCCCAUUAUUUUUCAUUGCUCGCAAGCACGAUCUUUUCCCAUUUUCCCCUCGUUUCUUCCUUCCUUCUUUCCUUCCUUCCUUCCUUCCUUCCUCGUUUGCUUCUUACUCUUUUUAUCCAUCCCCCUCCUCCUUUUCCUUUGCGCUUUCCAUAGACUUCAUUGAGAAGUCCUGCUCAACCGUAUCCUUAAACUUGUAUUACCGGGUGAAUUACGAAGAACGAAGCUGCCGCUGAAGAACACGAUCCUCGUGGAUUAUUCAAUCGGACCGCGCAAUUUGUUUCGCUGGUUUGGUCGCCUCCCUUUCUCAAUAUCGCGGUCGUCGGCUUUCGAGGUAAAGGUACAGAAAGAGAGAGAGGAGAAAGGAGCGCGUGUUUGCCAGGUAUUGUGCCAAGUCCAGCGGAAAACGCGUGGAAUCGGUGUGCAACCUUUAUGGGGCAGGAAAGUAACGUUAGAUUCGAUAAACAUCGAGCGGAGAACGAGAAUACAAACGUUUUCCCGUCGGCGGUUACGUUCCGCCGCCGGUGCUCGUGCUUCAAAGGAAGUUAUUCGAGUCGCGCUAAAAGGACACGCAGUCUCGCGUACAAUACGAGAAAAAAAUAUAACCGCGGGGAAAAAUGCGGUCAACGAGUAUCGUCGAACGAAAAACUCCGGUAAACAGUCGGGUACGGUGUUCAAGGCGAAAAGAAAAAUCGCUUUUAGCAAUAGCGCGCUUCUUUUUCUUUAUUUUUAGAUUAAAAGACGUUGGUCGUUUGAACGAGAGAAAUACAGGGGCGACAACUCGCUAAUUGAAAUACCGACUGGGUAAUCGGCGGAUUCGUCGUUUAUAUUGGAUGGUGGUUCGACCGCUAUCGAACGAUAUCCAUAAGCGUGGAAUUACGGCGUUGUAUUUCUCCGGAACUGGCUUUGCACACGUCCUUUCGCCAGAUGCCGUCUUCCCGAUAUCGUCUUCCCUUUGACCGGAGUUAUUACUUAUACCACGAGGGUAUCGGCGGUUUAUUUUGUCGACGACGUAAGAGACGUCGGCGGCUGAGGUGAGCAAAAGGAACGACGAAAAGAGAGUAGUAGCAGUGCAAAGAGUGAAAGAGACAAGCCAAGUGAAAGAGUAAGAGAGUGGAGGAGGAACGGAUGGAAGGGAGGGCGAAGGAUCUCUCCGCAGAUUAGAGCGCGAAUCAAUAUUGGGCAGCGAGGCGAGGCUUUUAUCGGCGCUGAAAGAAAUCCCCUCGCUUCCUUCUUCGAGUGGGCACCGACUUGGAAUGGAAACCAGUGGUAGAGAACCGGGCAAGGAAAAACGAAGGAGACGGAACGAGAGUAUGGAUAGAGAGAUACGCGUAUAUAGGAGAGUAGUUCGGGGGACGGAGAUGGAAAAAAGAGACAGAAUGGAGAGUGACGGAAAGAGACACGAAAGAUGAAGAGGGGAGCGACGAUGGAGACGAAGGAUAAGCACGAAGGGUAUGAGGAGAACUGAAGAGCCCAUGGAAGGAGGAACUCAGCGGAGAAAGGGAGAAGUAAGAGGACGAGGAUUCCGUUCGAGCAACUUACCGGACUUCUACGUUCUCUCCACGGUCGAGGAUUUACAGAUUACGCGCUGGUAGACCGAGCUCCUGAGUGCGACCGAGAGAGAAACCUAUCGAGAGUGGCGACGCGCGAACGAGCAAGGGAGAGAACGCGAGAAUCGGCACGAGCGAGAAGGAUGGUAUAAAGGAAUGACACGGAGAGGGAGUCAAGGACCAUUCGGCGCGAUGAGUGCGACGAAAACGGAGCUAUCGAGUCCGCGCGGACUCGAACGGGUGCCGGUGACUCGACCAAUCAGAGACUAGCGUUCUGACCAGCCGACCAAUCCGAUGGCGCUGCGAACAUUACACGUUUAUUAUCACGCGGGAAAAAGAAAUGACUGUUUAUAAAUAAUUAGAGAGGUUUUAAUUAACCCUCGGGAAGCUCUCGGACCGCCGGUAUCCAUCGCUGUUUUAAUCGCUCGGUCGGUUUUACCAUGGACGACGACACCGCCUCCGCCACCGCCAGCACCACCACCGUCUGUUCAAUCUAUCCCUACUCAUAACGAAACCGCGUUAUAUUUGUAAAACUAAACCAUCGAUCGGCAUCGGUCAUUAAAGGCAACCCUUGUUCUCGUUUUCUUCGCUGCCAGACGUCUUGUGUCAAGGUGUCUUUGAUGCAUAUGUACGCGUAUACAUGUAUAUACUUGCAACAGUAUAGAGUAUAUUUACCUACACGAUUUAUCUUUUCCCACUUUCUUUUUUCUUUUCUCGAUGACAAGAAUUUUGCUUUUUUCCUUUCUUUUCGGUAUCUGCGCGGUACACGUCGAAACGAAACAUGGGAACGCACGCUAUAUUAUUAGAAAAUGUUGUGUUCUGGUCCUCUCUGAGCGUAUACGUCGACUCGUGAAUUCGUAUGCACUAUUUUCCCGUCAAAAAUUCAUCUGACCGUUUUUGACUGCAUCACGUUAUCCAACAGGCAAUUGCCUUCCGAUGGAUAGAAUCGCGGCCUCUAAAACCUUUCCAAAAGGCCUCCAAUGGCGCGGACACGACAAAAGGGAAAUCAAAGCAUCGUCGAAGAGUUUUUACGAUCGAACGCCCCGCUUUCGUGGCGAGGGGUUCUUCAGUUUAGCUUCCUCGCUGCUUUUGGCUGCCACCGUCUCGAAUAUUUUAUUCUCCUCUCUCGUUCACCGUAUCUUUUCCACGCUGGAUAAAAGAUGCUCCGUAAGAUCCUUCUUCGGUUGGUUGGCCACGUUCGUGCAAAUUCACAUAUACGCAUACACAUAGCGCUUACCACACACACACACAUACACAUACACACAACGCGUGCACAUACACAGAGAAUAAACUUUCGCACCUUCUUCUCUGUGAGUAAGAUUUAUCGGGAAGAAAGUUGCCACGACAAAGGGGUAAAUGACUUUCGAAUAUCUCAGCUUUUCGAACGCGUCAGCUGUGAGUCAGAAUCUCGAGCGUGAGGGCGCUGCGAGCGACGCCAACGAUAGUUCCAACGAUGUUCAUAGAGCUUGUCCUAUUUCGAAACGAGUCUUCCUAAUCUGAGAAGAGUGGUUUCAAAGAGAAGGAGAGGUCGAGAUUUUCAUUCGAAAAGCAUCACGUAAUCCACACACGGUCUCGUCAACUCCAUGAAAUCGUCCAAGUUCACUCACGGUAUUUCCUAGACGAAUUUAACGACGACACAUCAGAGAGUUCGUGUAUGCGCUACCAACCGUUUGUACCACUAAAGAGGUCGCUGCGGAAACUCGAUCUUUCCGGAAAGUUCUACGAGUUUGUUCGAAAGAAUCAUAAGAUUUUCAACUGUUGUGUUAUCGAAAAUAGAAUUUCCGAUUGUUUUGCAUUGUUCAAUACUUGUUAAAUGGAUACUAAGUGAUUUUGAAGAAAAUUUGGUUAAAAUUACUUUUCCUUAUGUACCAGAAAAGAUAAACGCAGAGAGCCCAAACACGCAGAGAAGAGGACGAACGAAGAUAAAGGAUACAAUGAAAGAGGAGGAAAAAAGAAAAAGGCAAGAACUGGUGUCGCGAGGAGCAAGUCGUCGAGACGUCUUCAUCGUUCCACGAUUCGAAGCCGUUCGUCAUUUCCGGUGGGCAAGACUCGCGGCUAUCUCUUCGUCUCGCGAGUCGAUCGUCGAAUUUGUUUUGCAAUCCCGGCGCCUCGUUUAUCGUUGGUACACAUCGUGUACCGUCCGAGAGAUAGAAGACCUCGUUCCUCGAGGUCCAGGGUUUCGUCCGGUCGGCGAAAGGGAAUGCAUCGAACGGCCGGCUCCGGUCCCUUUUUCGCGUUUCCUGACCGGUAUCUGCACGUGUAAGGACAGGGCAAAGCAGAUAGCGGCGUGGCGAGCGUGUCGAUCCGUUUAUCGAGCCGUGUAUUUACGCGCGGCGUGACUCGUAGACGCGCGUUCGCCAGAUAACCGCGAUAAUAUAGAAACGCCAAUAAUGAAAUACGAUAAGCCGGGCAUAGAAUUUGUAUACGACGGCCCGUCGUGGAUUAAAGAGCUGUUAGCAUAAUCUGAACGACUCUAUACCUAUGUCCCAACAAACAGGCGCACGGGGGCAAUUAGAAACGCUUCUCGUUCGUCGUACACCGCUGCGUGUAUAUAAUCCACGCACGCGGCCGUAUACACUGGGAGUACACAUCGAGAGGCAUAGAACGGGCUCGAUACAAUGAAGAUCGAGAUACGUAAGUAUUAUGCGCGAUUUGCUCGACCGGGAUAAACCUUUCGCGCGUUUCCCCGCGAAUAAAUCACGCGACGAUAGAUUGACACGCGUUCAAUUCUUUUGUUCCCUUUUCGAAAUCGAAGAUUCCACUCGCUCUCGUUGAACGUCGCUAAUCGUCUCGUUUUACGCUUACAUCGUGCUUGUCGCUGACUCGACGGGACCCUUCUUCCCUCACCCUUCCCGGUCCCUAGUCCGUAUCCCCUCCCCUUUCCAUCGUAGUUUUAUCUCUGUCCGCCAGGGGGACGGGAACACGCGUCGUCGCAGGACUCAGGUAGGGAGCAAAGUCAAUUUCGAGGCGAGAUGCCACGGGGUUAAUGGGUCUCCUUUGUCGUAAAUUCGGGCUUUAGUGUGAAAGCUGCCUAAACCUACCUCCGUUGCUCCUUCCUCGCCAGAGGAGUCCCCUUCGCUUCGUGCCUCUGGGAGCCUUGUAACAAACAGGAUACAGCUAUCUCUCUUCCGCCCCCUCCAUCUGUCGGCAUCGCCUGCCGCCACAUCGUCGAGCGAUUUAUUAUCCGACCGUUCCACCUCGGGCACCGUUCUGCUUAGCCGCUGUUUUUUAUUCCUGGUGAAUAAGGGGAGUGAGGGAGCCGGGAUCAAGCCGGAGUGUGAGCGGUGGAGCGGAGUCAACGGGUGAGGGAAGGAACGGGAAACACGGCGGAAACUGGAGAACCAGAGGAGAGAGGAACUGGUGGAAAAGAAGAUAAAUCGCGACAGUUGCCAACCUAAGAAGUUUGAUUAUGUUGGCUCAGCCGAGGCUACGCUCGGUUAGAUUUGUAUUAAGCUCGCGCCCGCCCAGCGUCGACGGGAAUAUGCUUUAUAAGCGUAUCGUGGCGUGCUCGAGCGUUUCGAAAUCUUAGAUGGUCGAAAACAGGGGAAGAAAAACCUGGUGCGUAAAGAAAAAGUACGUAAAGUAUACCCAACGUCCGAUGCAUUUUCUCGUCUCUCUGAUGUUUCAGAGCUUCCUUACCAUUUCAGUGUACGUCAUUUUCAAUAUUAUAAUAAUAACAAAAUAUUGUGUUAUUGUAAAUAGAAAAACUUUAAAGAUAGUUCUUUAUCAUAAAUCAUUUUUUCUUUUUUCUUUUUUUAUUUCCUUGCUUGAAAGAUUGUUAACAGGUUCUUGUUUGAUUUGCAGGUUAUUAAAAUCCAGAAAGAAUGAGGAAAUAGCAGAGAGAUAUGAGGUCAUUUUUUUUCCUCAUCAAAAAUCCGCGGAAUAUCGUUUUUGUUAGGGGAGAUUACGUUACAAGAUAAUUCAAAACAUUUGUUACUAGUUACACAUAGUUGUUGCGUGGGUGGUGUAGGUGUUUAGUCUGGGGAAUGUUUAGAUCCCUUCCAUGGUUUCACUCUGUGAAGUGGAGUUUAUGCGUAAACGAUAGGGUCUUGACAGAUCGUCUAUUCCUGGUAUACGAAAGUGUGAACACUUGAAAGCACUUCCCGUUUCUAAGAUACGUGUUUUUAAGAUUAUAGAAACGAAAAAAAAAAAAAAACAUACGUAUCUUCAAUUCGGUUACAUAUGUUUGUAUUCAAAUGUACAAAUAUUCUUUAAAAAAUUCUUUUCUCAAUCUAUAUCGAAGUAAUCACUCUCUUUAUCUUGUUUUUUUAAUCAGCAUAAUAAAUAUUGACUUUGUGUUCAUAAAAAUAGUCCAGAAAUAGAUUCGAGAUUCAUUAAAAUUUUUAUCAUCAGUUUCAUUCUAUUCACACUCGUACAAUUUCCUUUUAAAAUUUUAUAAUUUUUCGUUGAUCUUAACCUUUUGCUUAUAAAUUAUUACCAUAUCAAGAUGUACACUGAUAUAUCAAUUUCUUUUAUUUUUUUUUCUUCUAUUUUUUUUCCACUUCAAAAUUAAUUUCAAGGAACAUUCUCGUAAGCGUAAUGAAAAUUAUCAAUUCGAUAAACGUCUUUGGCCAUCGAUGAUCUAAGCGAACGCGUUAAACAAGGUUAUGGUUCAAUUCAUGCUACAUAAGCGUGCAGAUACGCUUAUACGCGCGCACACGUAUGCAAAUCGGUCUGGUUUCCAGUAAACUGGUGUAUAUCAGUUUCACAAUUACGAAACAGGGAGGAAUUGCUGGAAGAUCAGUUUCCUAAAUGAAACAAAUUAGCGGCGUAAUGGACGGCAAAUGCGGCGGGACUACAUUUUCACGGAGAUCGUUUCACAGAAAUACUGGUAGCUGUCGAGAACUUCGGAGAUUAAGAUAAUUUUAUUAACGCCGGCCUUUCGCUCUGGCUAUGCUAUUAGCGGAGAAUGUUAAUGGCCCGUUGUGUAUCGAUCGUGCGGAACGAACGAUUUCACUCGGCUAGGUGAGCUAAAAAUGUUUAAUAGACACGAGUUAUGUGUGUUUCUCUCGUCUAAUGUGCUUUAAUCGCGCCGAUUAACGGAUCUCGCCGAUCGUGUCGACCUGUUUUCCAUCGCCAACUAGAACUCUCUCGCGCAGAAGUGGGUUUAAAAUUAUCGUAAUUUUAUUAUUAUUAUCUCAGGAAAGUAUCUAUCUCGUUGCGGGAAAGAAUAAUUUUGUUCUCACAUUGAUUUAAUCGAACUUAGUAAUUAAAUCUCAAAUUGAAUUCCGCAUUUGUUAACACAACGAGCGGUUAUAAUAUUUCACUCGAUUGUUAAUCUAUUUUAUUUUCCAAGGGAAAUUCUUAGAUCUUAUUAUUUCCAGAAUAGACGCUUUUUUAGAACGAACGGCUAUUUAAAGAUAACCUAGAUUUUACUUCACGGCUUACGGUAAAAUUGUUGAAAUCGACUUUUGUCCGGUGCUUUUCGGCGCAAAUACCCCACGCCUCGUCCCCGAAGAGCGGUACGCCGCGCAAAAACAAAUGAUCCGCCGCUUCCAGCCGCGAUAAAAAACCGGCGUCUGGAUUAAACGUGCCUCUUGAAUAGAGACGUUUUUCUGUAAUGGAAGGUUGGUAGCCCGUAAAGAGAAUUCAUCCACGACCGAUCGAGCACCUGCCCGGGUGAGCGCGCGCGCAAGGGGCCCACAAAGGGCUGCCCGGAACUUGUGAAAAUAAUUCCUGCCUCCUCGAGGCUUGUGCAUGGCUACGCGCCCCAUUACAAUGACGACGUGUACACUAUAUACGCGUUCCCCGGCCGCUUUUAUUUCCUCCCGUCGUCGUUUUAAACGGGAUCGAGGGCAGGUGUCUUUAUUCUGAACGAUCCUGUAUGUCCUUGCCGGCUAGUUGCCAUUUAACGCUUGGACAAAGCGCGAUCCGGGUUACGGGCAGACAGGCGCGAACGUAAUUGCCCGCUAAUUAUUUUCAAAUUGAACGUGGAAAGUUUCGAGGAAUUCGACUCGCGGAGAAGUUGUUUGCCUAGCCGAGCGCACUUUUCGAUCCGCUACGAGCCUCCAUCUCUCUCUCUUCUCGAGCAAUGAGCUCGAGUAACGGAUCGUUUUAAUCGGUUGGCUUAGGUUCGUUGAUGGUGCCUGAUUGUUUGGUAUGUUAAUUGCGUUUUACGGGUGGGGAAUUUGUGGCCUGUCAAAGGAAUUUUAAUCUCGUUGCUUGAAAGAUACGAGUCAUUGUUCGUAACAUAACAAAUUCGGAAUUAUAUACAUGUGUUAGGUCCAAAAUGAAAUUUCGAUAUACAUUUGUUUAUUUACGGAAGAAGGAUUACGAGGCUUUCGAAAUGCGUAUGCACUUAAGUGUAAUAAAUACACGUGGAAGGAAAAUGUGCACGAUCGCUUCGGGUCACCGGUCGAAACGCCCGAGCUCGUCUUCGAAUUGACCGCACUCGAUUCUAGAGUGGCGUACGAGUGGUUUGGUUCAUGGAUGGACGAGCACGUUUCAUUGUGACCGGGCUAUUUGCGAAUUAUCGCCCCUCAGCCACCGAAACUGCUCUCUUGCACUCUUAACCGUAACGACGGACUCGCAAUUCGUUCGUAAUGGCGACUCUCUAUUAGAUGCAGUUUAAGUCUGUUUCGCCGGGACAAUUUAGCCGUCGAAUUACCAACACGCCCGUAACGAGCCUGUGUGCCUAUAAAAAAUACUUUAACCACGUACUCGAGAUUGUAAUCCUCGAUCCGUUGAAUCCGAAGGAUCUUAAUCUAAUGCUCGCCGCUGGCCUCUUAUUCGUCGUUGAAAUUUCUUUUCCUUCCUUAUUUUUUUUUCUUUCCUUUUUUUUUAUAACAUUGAUAAAAACAAGCAGUUAUAUAGUUGAGGGACUUGUAAUGGGGAGAAUUGUAUAGCAAUGCAGCGAGAUAAUGUUUUUGCCGAUGUUUAAUACAGCGAGCAAUUCGAGCAGAAUGAUGAAAUUCCCGCAACACGAUCGAACUGGAUUCUAGGCAAUUUUUUUGCCAACGUAGACCGAUUAUGAUAUUUUGUGUUUAUUCUUGGAUUUUUUCUUCUUUCCAUCCAUUAUUUUAUUUUACGUUCAAGAAAUAAUUUUCUUCUGUAAAAAUAUAUAUAUAUAAAUUUACAUAUUAUUAACAUAUAUUAUAACGAAUAUUGGAUUCUUUCAUAAUUGAAUACAUUUUCAAAAUUGUUUCCUUAAAAAUUUCCUGAUGUAACGUGAUAUAAAUAAUUAAUUAUCCGUUAAGCAGAUAAUAUUUUUAUGACAUUUAAUAUGUCGUGUUAGAAUGAACUUGAACUUUCUCUUUUUGAAAUUCGCGCACAUUAACAACGAAUUAGGCCGCAUUUCCUUUGCAGCGGCGCGCGCAUAAAUUCGCGGUGCGCACAGGCGGGCUUCCUGUUGCGAUGUUACGCGACUUCCACAUGUUUAUUGCCUACAGUCGCGGUCACAAAAACGUAGGGGAGAAUUUGGUUAAUUAAAACCGCGCAAGCGGCGUGGUCUCUCGCUCAGAGGAAGCACACUGCACCGCACCGGAAACGCGGCCGUCGGGACGCGUUCUCGUGUUAAAGCGUCCUCCCCCUGCUCUGACUCAGGAAUUCAAUUUUUAAUUUCGCCCGUCACGGACGUGGCCGCUUUGUAAUUUCGCGCUGUUUGAAAUCGUGACGCGUGUUCGCGCCCUUCCACCACAUCGACCACGAGAGAUUCGCUUCUUCACCGCCACUUCCGUUAAUGGAAAUGUUUUCUUUGUUACAGAUUUUUUCUAACGCGUGAAAAACAAUAGAUAUUCGAUUUACAAAAAAUAAAAAAUGAAUAAUAUAAACCUGAAAGUGAACAUUUUUGCAAAUAAUUUUAAAAUUUUUUAAAAAUAAAUCGUGUUAAAAUGUUUUUUUUUAUUUGUUGGAGAUACACGAUAAAUUAAGAUUUCAUCUUAACCUAAAAACUGCCAAGGUUAAAUAAUACGGAAAUAAGAAAAAAUAAUGUAAUGAGAAUAUAAUAUUGAAACAGUAUAUAUAAGUAUACGUAUGCACUUCUGCGCUGUAUUUAUCGAUAUAAAUAUAUUGGACACGCUUAUAAGAAACCCCCCUUCGCAUUACGAUAAAUGGCGAUGAUUUUCAUUUGUUCAUAUGCCGAUAAUGAGACGACGCAUCGCAUUAAAUUUCAAAAGCUAACUUUGCAUUCUUUUUCGUUUUUCCCGCCCAUUUAAGCUACCUCUACUCAUGCUUCUUUCCUUUCGAUAUAUUUUAUCGACCGUGAACCAACUUCUCGCCAGUCGAUCGAAAUUAACGAACACUAGUAUAGAGGUUAGAUGGUGGUAUGAGGUAAAAGAGGCUUGAAGUGGUUUUUGCACGAUCGCGGGAUCGUUAGUCUCGAAGCGAGAAAACGUGCAUUAGUUUCUGGAUUGUUAGACGGAAUGGGAAUAUCUGUGCAAUGAAUUUACUGAUUGCAUGCUGAGACUUGAUGUGUGUGUACGUGUAAUUGAGAGUUUGUGAGACGAUCGUGUAGGUGGAUACGAUGGAAGAUUGUGGAAAUAUAAAGCUAAAGAAGUAUAAAAUACCAUGUGCAGCUGUGAUGUAUUGGAAUGUAAGAAAAAUUGAGAGGUUAAUGGUCAAGAAGGUUAUGUUUGGUUAAAAUCGAAUUACGACAAUAUGGCGUGUUGCGAUGUUUCGCGAGAAAUGUGGUAAAAUGAGAAGUUCAAACUUGUGCAAUGUGUAUAAUUUUAAAAAAUAACUAGAAAUGAAUCGGACAAAAAUACCUAAACUUGACGAUAGACCGGUGAAUAUUUUUUCGUUUUCUCUAUUUAUCUAAUUAGCGAAUCGCGCGUCAAUCGUUAGAUGAACGUGAUCUUGCGAAUUUUAUCGACGACAUAAAUAUUUGUCUUGGAUAAUUCCUCAUUCCGACAUCCCUAAUUACCUUUGGCGUAAUGCUUACACGUAUGCCAGUCACGUACAAGUUAUAAACAUCGUGUACGCCUGCAGGUGACUGUAACAGCUCGAGAUAAUCAAUCCGCGCGCUUGCAUUCCACAGGACGAAGCCUCCCGGCCGUGUGCAAGUAUCUCGCACAUUAAUGACUCAUUAUCGCUGUACCGUUAUGGUCUUCGUCCGUGUUCGCGGCCAAUGCGUUACAGGUCGCGGAAAAUCUUUUCAUAGGUGUACAUCACGGUGCUGACAAACUCGAGUUCACCAUGCGCAUUAAUCCAAAUUUACCGGAACGUAUACGCUUUGGAUCCUUGGGAAAGAUGACGUUGGAACGUUCGUGGUUGUAAUUAUGACGUGUUCAUCUAAAAAUGAAUGAGUUAGAUUAAUUGUUGUGAAUUCGUGAAUUGAGAUGAUUUUUCACGGAGAAGUAUCGAAAGCAGGUUCAGGAAAAUAUUUCUUCUACGCAGUUAGUAAUAGAAUCAACAAACAAAAGCGUUUAAACAACUAUGCGUUUGUACAUACCUUGCCAUUAAUACCACCGACGCAAUGUUUAUAAAUCGUAAAUCAAAUAGGAACACACCAAUUCAUAUUUAUGUACAUACAUCGAACAGCAUGAAAUCCAGUUAAUAGUCAAACUACACACGAACUCCACAAAUUUCUUAAUCAAUUUUCCUGAAAAUAAAUAAUUAUAUAAGAGUCUC